rnacentral:rRNA from 1 species
UACCUACGGGACGCAGCAGUGGGGAAUAUUGGGCAAUGGGCGCAAGCCUGACCCAGCAACGCCGCGUGAAGGAAGAAGGCUUUCGGGUUGUAAACUUCUUUUCUCAGGGACGAAGAAUGACGGUACCUCGUAAGAAAGCCCCGGCUAACUACGUGCCAGCAGCCGCGGUAAUACGUAGGGAGCAAGCGUUGUCCGGAAUGACUGGGCGUAAAGGGAGUGUAGGCGGCCUUGUAAGUUAGAUGUGAAAUCCUACGGCUUAACCGUAGAACUGCAUCUAAAACUGUGAGGCUGGAGUGCAGGAGAGG